CCGCUCAAAGAAGAUGAACUGAUCUCCUACAUCCUCUCUGGUAUUGAUCAAGAAUACAAUCCACUCUCGACAUCAACCAUAACUCAAGUGGAACCAAUCUCGCUUGUUGACUUCUAUGCACACCUUCUCACCUUUGAGA